UAAUACGUAGGGUGCAAGCGUUAAUCGGAAUUACUGGGCGUAAAGCGUGCGUAGGCGGCUAUGUAAGACAGAUGUGAAAUCCCUGGGCUUAACCUAGGAACUGCAUUUGUGACUGCAUUGCUGGAGUGUGGUAGAGGGAGAUGGAAUUCCGCAUGUAGCAGUGAAAUGCGUAGAUAUGCGGAGGAACACCAAUGGCGAAGGCAAUCUCCUGGACCUGCACUGACGCUCAUGCACGAAAGCGUGGGGAGCAAACAGGAUUAGAUACCCUGGUAGUCCACGCCCUAAACGAUGUCAACUGGUUGUUGGGAAGGUAUCUUCUCAGUAACGUAGCUAACGCGUGAAGUUGACCGCCUGGGGAGUACGGCCGCAAGGUUG
rnacentral:rRNA from 1 species